GCUCCUUCACCAAAAAUAAAUUAUUAAUUCAACAUCGAGGUCGCAAACCUAAUUACUAAUAAGAACUUAUAAAUUAAAUAACGCUGUUAUCCCUAGAGUAACUUAAUAUUUUCCUAUUUAAUAACAAUGUAUAUUAUUAUCUAUUUAUAACUAAAUUCAUUUUUAUUAUAGAUUUAUACUCUUAUAACUAAUUAUAUAUUAUUAUAUUAAAUAUAAAAAUUUUUAUCUUCAUUAAUUACCCCAAUUCAAAAAUCUUUAAUUUAAAAGCUUCUAGGGUCUUCUCGUCCCAAGGAAAUAUAAAAGCAUUUUUACUUUUAAUUUAAAUUCAAACUUACUAAUUAAAACUUACUUCUCAGUAAUCACCCUUCAUUCCAGUAUCCA
rnacentral:rRNA from 1 species